UACGUAGGGUGCAAGCGUUGUCCGGAAUUAUUGGGCGUAAAGAGCGUGUAGGCGGCCCGAUUAGUCCGCUGUGAAAGUCCAGGGCUCAACCCUGGAAUGCCGGUGGAUACUGUCGGGCUAGAGUCCGGAAGGGGCGAGUGGAAUUCCCGGUGUAGCGGUGAAAUGCGCAGAUAUCGGGAAGAACACCCGUGGCGAAGGCGGCUCUCUGGGACGGUACUGA
rnacentral:rRNA from 1 species